UACGUAGGGAGCUAGCGUUGUCCGGAAUCAUUGGGCGUAAAGCGCGCGCAGGCGGCCCGGUAAGUCCGCUGUGAAAGUCAAAGGCUCAACCUUUGAAUGUCAGCGGAUACUGCCGGGCUAGAGUCCGGAAGAGGCGAGUGGAACUCCUGGUGUAGCGGUGGAAUGCGCAGAUAUCAGGAAGAACACCAACGGCGAAGGCAGCUCGCUGGGACGGAACUGACGCUAAGGCGCGAAAGCGUGGGGAGCGAACAGG
rnacentral:rRNA from 1 species